UUUUUUGUUCAAAUUCAUCAGACACGUAAACUUAUUUUUGGAUAACCGGAGCUUCCCCGUAGCAUUAACUACCAUACAAAUUGUUAAUAUUGAUUAAGAUGUACAUUAUUUUUACCAAUCAUAAAUCCUAUUUUUACAUCCAUUGUAUAGAUGUAGCAGUAUGUAUAUCUGUUUUUUUUUUUUUUUUUGUUGGUUUGACAUUGCAAUCUUGUUGUCAUGAAUAGGAAAAUUACAUUAAAUUAAGUGAACCCCCUCACAUAUUACUACUAUUUAGUCAUGGUUACGUGUAAUGUAACUAUACGUACGCAUCAAUUAAUUCGGUCCCGUUUCCUUUAAAUAUAUUACGUGAUAUGUGGGAUACUCUUCUUCACAUUAUUUUUUCUGCCCAACCCAACCAAAAGCUCUUUCAAGCAAAAAAAAAAAAAAAGGAUAAUGGCUUCAUGAAUUAAUUAUGAAAUCAUAUACUGCUUAGUUAAGGGCAC
rnacentral:lncRNA from 1 species